UUUUUUUUUUUUUUUUUUUCACUUACAGAGUGUCCAAGUUCUCCCACGCUCGGUCUGUCAUUGACUAAGAGUAUACUUGAACUGACAGAGAUAACCAUUUUAGAGAUUGGUAAUGAUGAAGUCAAAAUCAAUGGAUAUCCAACUCUCACUUCUUUUUCAUAGGCUUGUGAUGUGACGGCAGGAUCGAAACAAGUGGUGCGCAAACAGGGACCUGAGUAUCAAGGGAUCUAGUGAAGGACACCGCAGAAAAGAAUGAGGCC
rnacentral:lncRNA from 1 species